ACGAACGCUGGCGGCGUGCUUCACACAUGCAAGUCGCACGGAAAGGCCCUGCUUUUGUGGGGUGCUCGAGUGGCGAACGGGUGAGUAACACGUGAGUAACCUGCCCUUGACUUUGGGAUAACUUCAGGAAACUGGGGCUAAUACCGGAUAGGAGCUCCUGCUGCAUGGUGGGGGUUGGAAAGUUUCGGCGGUUGGGGUUGGACUCGCGGCUUAUCAGCUUGUUGGUGGGGUAGUGGCUUACCAAGGCUUUGACGGGUAGCCGGCCUGAGAGGGUGACCGGCCACAUUGGGACUGAGAUACGGCCCAGACUCCUACGGGAGGCAGCAGUGGGGAAUAUUGCACAAUGGGCGGAAGCCUGAUGCAGCAACGCCGCGUGCGGGAUGACGGCCUUCGGGUUGUAAACCGCUUUCGCCUGUGACGAAGCGUGAGUGACGGUAAUGGGUAAAGAAGCACCGGCUAACUACGUG
rnacentral:rRNA from 1 species